AUUGAACGCUGGCGGCAUGCCUUACACAUGCAAGUCGAACGGCAGCACGGGUGCUUGCACCUGGUGGCGAGUGGCGAACGGGUGAGUAAUAUAUCGGAACGUACCUUAUUGUGGGGGAUAACGCAGCGAAAGCUGUGCUAAUACCGCAUAAUCCCUAAGGGGGAAAGCGGGGGACCGUAAGGCCUCGCGCAAUUAGAGCGGCCGAUACCUGAUUAGCUAGUUGGUGAGGUAAAGGCUCACCAAGGCAAAGAUCAGUAGCUGGUCUGAGAGGACGAUAAGCCACACUGGGACUGAGACACGGCCCAGACUCCGACGGGAGGAAGCAGUGGGGAAUGUUGGACAAUGGGGGCAACCCUGAUCCAGCAAUGCCGCGUGAGUGAAGAAGGCCUUCGGGUUGUAAAGCUCUUUCGGCCGGGAAGAAAUCGCACAGGCUAAUACUCUGUGUGGAUGACGGUACCGGCAUAAGAAGCACCGGCUAACUACGUGCCAGCAGCCGCCGUAA
rnacentral:rRNA from 1 species